rnacentral:rRNA from 1 species
CUGGCUCACGAUGAACGCUGGCGGCGUGCCUAACACAUGCAAGUCGAACGAAGCACUUUACCGGAGAUUCGUCGAAGGUGAAUUUGACUUAGUGGCGGACGGGUGAGUAAUGUAUGAGCAACCUGCCUUUCAGUGGGGGACAACAGUUGGAAACGACUGCUAAUACCGCAUAAUGUAUCGAGGGGGCAUCCCCAUGAUACCAAAGGAUUUAUUCGCUGAAAGAUGGGCUCAUAUCUGAUUAGUUAGUUGGUGGGGUAACGGCUCACCAAGACUGCGAUCAGUAGCCGGACUGAGAGGUUGAACGGCCACAUUGGGACUGAGAUACGGCCCAGACUCCUACGGGAGGCAGCAGGUGGGGAAUAUUGGGCAAUGGGCGAAAGCCUCGACCCAGCAACGCCGCGUGAAGGAAGAAGGUCUUCGGAUUAGUAAACUUCUUUUAUGAGGGACGAAGGACGUGACGGUACCUCAUGAAUAAGCCACGGCUAACUACGUGCCAGCCGCCGC